rnacentral:rRNA from 1 species
CAAUAGCGUAUAUUAAAGUUGUUGCAGUUAAAAAGCUCGUAGUUGGAUUUCGGGGCAGCCUGGCUGGUCCGCCGCAAGGCGAGUACUGGUCAGCCGCCCUCCCUCUCGAAAGCCCCGACUGCUCUUCGUUGCAGUGGUCGGGUAGUUCGGGACGUUUACUUUGAAAAAAUUAGAGUGUUCAAGGCAGGCCUACGCCUGAAUACAUUAGCAUGGAAUAAUGGAAGAGGACCUCGGUCCUAUUUUGUUGGUUUCCAGGGCCGAAGUAAUGAUUAAGAGGGACAGUUGGGGGCAUUCGUAUUUAAUUGUCAGAGGUGAAAUUCUCGGAUUUAUGAAAGACGAACAACUGCGAAAGCAUUUGCCAAGGAUGUUUUCAUUAA